UGGGGAAUCUUGCGCAAUGGGCGAAAGCCUGACGCAGCCAUGCCGCGUGUAUGAUGAAGGUCUUAGGAUUGUAAAAUACUUUCACCGGUGAAGAUAAUGACUGUAGCCGGAGAAGAAGCCCCGGCUAACUUCGUGCCAGCAGCCGCGGUAAUACGAAGGGGGCUAGCGUUGCUCGGAAUUACUGGGCGUAAAGGGAGCGUAGGCGGACAUUUAAGUCAGGGGUGAAAUCCCGGAGCUCAACUCCGGAACUGCCCUUGAUACUGGGUGUCUUGAGUGUGAGAGAGGUAUGUGGAACUCCGAGUGUAGAGGUGAAAUUCGUAGAUAUUCGGAAGAACACCAGUGGCGAAGGCGACAUACUGGCUCAUUACUGACGCUGAGGCUCGAAAGCGUGGGGAGCAAACAGGAUUAGAUACC
rnacentral:rRNA from 1 species